UUUUCCCUCUCGCUCAACUCAUUUUCCCCACCUUUUCUCCCCUUUCCCGCGUGACAUCAUAUUGAUCCGCAUGCAACUUUCAAUAGCAGGAAGGCUCCUUCACAAAUCUGCAAGAGUUGAUGGAGAAGCAAUGGGAGAGGCCUGUUUGUGAAGGAAUCAACGCCAUAACCAUUGACACACGUCUGUGAAGGGCAAGGGCACUACAUGUUACUACGGGAGGUUUAAUGCCUACCAUAUCGAAAGAGCAUAAGUAGUAACCUGACAGGAGAGGGAAUAGGGGGAGAGAUUGUUGAUUGUUCAUUCUGGAGAGGAGAGGUUGCCCUUUUAGUCACGACAGAUGCCAUUGAUUCGAACCAAGUCUCUCGUUCCUACAUUCCUUUAAUCUGCAAACUUAUAACACCAGGUAUGUGAUUAGCCGAUAGAAAUUGUUUAGGUGGGCUACGCCCAUCGAAAGUGCCUCAUGCACAUCAGGAAGUGACUAUGCCGAGUCUGCUUUUUAAAAUUUCUGGCAGUCGAGGUUUUUAAACUCCUCUUUAUAAAGUUAAAAAUUAUACAGAGUCAAUAGAUUCUGGGCGUCCAGUGCAUUUUUUUUAAUCAGUAAACUUAUGUUAAAAAUAUUUGAUUUGUUUAAGUUUGGAUCCACUCUUCAUUUACUGUAAAUUAAUUGAAGCAACGCUUGUAUGGGGAUUGGUUUUGGUUCAUCCCCUGCUGUGGUAUUUAGGGUUUCAAAAUAUUUCCUGCAAACUCUGCCCAUUUUUUUCAUCGGUCUUGUUGAUUAGUAGGGCAAAAUUUGUGGUAGCCCUAAAAACCUAAUAUUUUUCAGAUCCAAUAUUUAUAGAUCCACUUUUCGGAGAUAAGUUUUGGUUCGUCUCAUUUAAAAAAAAUUCUGUUCUGGUAGGGUUCUGUAAAGUUUUCCGACAAACUCUGCCUAUUUUUCUUUAUUGGGCAUUGGGUAAACGGGUACUCAAGCUGCUAUUGGCGCUACUGCAAUGCUAGAUCGACUGUGGAAUCAGCUGGAUAAUAUUCUGUGUUCCACGGUAGGGACCCCUAUAUACUAGAGACUAAAGAAGGAACGAUGGGUGUAUCCCCAACUAAUGAAACGGUGCAGGACGUUUUCUAACCAAUGCGGGAGCACCCGGACUGAACUAGGAGUAGCAGCGAAGAGAAAAGGUAGGUGGGGCGUGCUACCAUCUAUGGUUAUCAGCCGAGUCCACCUAUACUCUACCAAUGAUCAUGAGUUAUUAUCAGGUGUUUAGUUGCAGGAUUUCUGUUACUAGAUUGAUUAAUCCCAUUUCCACUGCUUUCAUCUUGCAUUUCUGCUUGUUGGUCCUGUAGUUUCCUUAGGGAGCGACUACUUUACCUCCCACACAUCCCCUUCAUAUUGGGUUGGGUGGGCUGAGAAGGACCCGUAGGGGUUCUAUAGCGGUAGCAGGUGGUUGUGACCAAGGCUCGAAAGAUUAUUAUCUCAUUUGCUUUGGAGGUUUGUAAUAAGGAUCUUUGGGAAGAAAUUCAGAUGCCCUAUUUCAGAAUAAAUAAAGCAUUUUAGCUUGCCUGUUUGUGGUGUUUAUAAUCGAGGCGCUCAAAGUAAUUGCCAACAAACUGAAGGUUUUGAGCUGGAACUUCAAUUUGGAUCCCUGCAAUAGUGAUGAUACAAACUGGCAUCAUCUUGACGACAUAGCUGGAUCACGUGGGGUCAUAUGCAGCUGUGUUUUUGAGCAAAACAUACCACUUGCCAUGUUAAGCUAAUAAUGAUAUAUCUAGAACAGCAAGGGAUUGUGCCCCCUGAAUUGGCUAAUAUUACACACUCACAAAGCCUGUGAGUACAACCUAUAUAGUUUCAAGCUUCUAUUCUUCCUGCCAAUUCAAAUUGAUUGGAGUAAUGAAAAUAAGCUUAAUUAAAUGAAUUGUAUAAUGUUUUCAAUAGUGACCUAGGAUACAAUUUUUUGAGCAGAUCGAUUCCGGCUAUGUUCUCAUUAACACAUCUUUGAGUAUCUGUAAGCCAGAAUUUUAGUACAAAUUGUUGUUUUGGAACACUACCACCAGAGCUAAGGAAGUUGGCAAAUUUGGAUUAACUGUGUUCAUGAUUUUUCCUAUAGGAGCUUGAUCAUUUUAAAGAGGCCAUGAGGAUGUGUUCAGAAGUUUUCCAUCAUUUGAAGAUAUAGUUUAUUUUUUGGCUUUAAUAUUUCAUGUGUUUUUUAUAGCCUAAAUGUUGAGUGCAAGAUAUAGUCACAUCAGUUGGAUAUGGUUGAACAACAUUCUGCAACUUGGAUUGGCAUGGAUGUUGCUGCAUUUGAGUUUUAUGGUCAGGAUAAAAUGUAAGGUUUGAACUUCAAGGAGGAGGUAGCUAUCUAACUUUCCUUUCUAAUGUCAAUGCAUUUUUGUGGCAAAUAAUUUCUUUGAAUUAGGAAAUGGCAUUCAAUACUAUAAAAUGACCUUGUGUACGGUCAUUUUUAUUUGUUGCUAUGUUUACAAUAUUUAAAAGGAGGUUUGCGUUUUGCAUAAAUUGGGGUUGUAAAUGUGUUUUCAAGGCAUUCUUAGUGCUCUUCCAGUGCAACCAUUGAUUU